UACGUAGGGUGCAAGCGUUAUCCGGAUUUACUGGGUGUAAAGGGUGAGUAGGCGGUAACUUAAGCCAUAUGUGAAAGGCGGGGGCUUAACCCCCGAACUGCAUAAGGAACUGGGUAACUAGAGUGCAGGAGAGGUAAGCGGAAUUCCUAGUGUAGCGGUGAAAUGCGUAGAUAUUAGGAGGAACACCAGUGGCGAAGGCGGCUUACUGGACUGAAACUGACGCUGAGGCACGAAAGCGUGGGGAGCGAAC
rnacentral:rRNA from 1 species